GGGAGCCGGAUACUUCGAGAGGAGUAAGUCCGGUUCCGAGGGAGGGUGUAGGAAACCUGCCGCCAGCGGCGGCAAGGCGCCUUUACCCUACCCUAC
rfam:Eubacterium sp. 3_1_31 genomic scaffold supercont1.1, whole genome shotgun sequence.